UGCAGUCGAACGGGCUCUUCGGAGCAAGUGGCGGACGGGUGAGUAACGCGUGAGAAUGUGCCUUCAGGAUGGGGAUAACAAUAGGAAACUAAUGCUAAGACCCAAUGUGCCUUAAGUGGUGAAAAAUGAAAAUUGCCUGAAGAGGAGCUCGCGUCUGAUUAGCUAGUUGGGGUGGUAAAAGCGCACCAAGGCAACGAUCAGUAGCUGGUCUGAGAGGAUGAGCAGCCACACUGGGACUGAGACACGGCCCAGACUCCUACGGGAGGCAGCAGUGGGGAAUUUUCCGCAAUGGGCGAAAGCCUGACGGAGCAAUACCGCGUGAGGGAGGAAGGCUCUUGGGUUGUAAACCUCAAAACUUAGGGAAGAAAAAAAUGACGGUACCUAAUUUAAGCAUCGGCUAACUCCGUGCCAGCAGCCGCGGUAAUCCG
rnacentral:rRNA from 1 species